ensembl:snRNA U6 U6 spliceosomal RNA
GUGCUCACUUCAGUAGCACAUAUACUAAAAUUGGAAUAAUACAGAGAUUAGCAUAGCCUCUGUGCAAACAAGACAUGCAAAUUUGUAAAGUGUUCCACAUUUUG